rnacentral:rRNA from 1 species
AGGAUGAACGCUGGCGGCGUGCUUAACACAUGCAAGUCGAACGAUGAAGGCUGGAGCUUGCUCUGGCUGGAUUAGUGGCGAACGGGUGAGUAACACGUGAGUAACCUGCCCCAGACUCUGGGAUAAGCGCUGGAAACGGCGUCUAAUACCGGAUACGAGCUUCCACCGCAUGGUGAGGAGCUGGAAAGUAAUUUCGGUCUGGGAUGGACUCGCGGCCUAUCAGCUUGUUGGUGAGGUAAUGGCUCACCAAGGCGACGACGGGUACGCCGGCCUGAGAGGGUCGACCGGCCACACGUGGACUGAGACGACCGGCCCACGACUCCGUACGGGAGGCGAGCGAGUAGGGGGAAUUAGUUGACACAAGUUGGGCGACGAACG